AGCGCCCCCCAGCGGCGGCAGAGCGCCUCGGAUACAGAAACGCGAUACCGGUGCGAGGCGGCAGUGCGGCUGAGCGGAAGGGCCCGGGAGGCACUUAAAAUAAUGGUUUAAAGUAAAUAAAGUAAUCAGGAAAUCAGGAGAGAACAUGGCUACCAGAGAGACACUAACAGAGGAGAUGCUGCCCCUUUUGAGAGGGCCAGCAAAUCUGAGGGCUUCUACCCGAGCUGCACCAUGGGAAAAAGGAGUUCGAGUCUGCCCUCCGAUGAAAUGCACAAGGAUCUACUACUGUACUGGGCAAACAAGCCCUUCUGAAACUUUGUGGGUGGCCAGCCGGUCCACCACUUUGCCCCUUUCCAUCCUUAGUCAGUAUGAGCCUGAUCAGGAGUGUUGCUGAAUUCCCCGCCAAUCUGGAGGUC